ANCUGGCCCAAAAUUAUCUUAUGGUGUGAAUUUUUAGCCCAACACGUGUAGCCCAACUAUCAAUUCACCAUUUGAUUUCUCUUACUACAUCCGACACUGGUGAAAAGCUCCAUCUGCAAAGCCCUCAUCUUCAAACGGCUCUUCGCUUCAUAUCUCUGCUCUCUCUCACUCCUCCUCUCUGUCUAUUGAUAUUUCCUACUAGAUUUGUCACUGUGAGAAUUUCAGUACUCAAAACUCCGAAUUCACAUACAAGUAAAAGAUAAUUGCAAUGGUUGGAGUUUUUUCAGAAGAUGAUAUGGCUGAAAUUAUGCCAAACAUGAGAAUGGAACCUCUCAAUCUUGUAUAUGUAUAAUAUUCCUCUUUUAGUUAAAUUUAUUUCACGUAAGCUUUAUAGUGUUUGUGCUGAUUUUGUUUUGAAUAUUCAAAUUCUCUGUCCACAAAUAGCAACAUAGGUGCCUCUUUGAUUAGCAGUUGAUUUUAAAAAAACAAAGGGAAAUGUACUAUCAGACCUCCAAAAUCCAUGUCCAUUGGUAAGUUUUUAGUUGUUAGGUGACUAUAUUGAUUUGUGCUUCCAAGUGCAGCGACUAGUUGAUUUAAGUUUUGAUUUGGAUUUGUUUGUUUUGUCUUCUAUUGUGGAGAAAUUAUUACAGAUUCUAUUUUACUAAGUUAGUUGUUGCUAGCUCAACUUGUAUGUCUGUAUAAAACUAUGAAAUCCAGAGUACUCUUAAGCAAAGGUACAGUAUUGGAAUAGAGACGGGCCAAAAUAGAGUAGAACGAUAAAGAGGCUUUAUAUAGUGACCUCAACUUGUGUGGGGUUGAGGGAUAGUAAGGAUAGUAGUAGUUGUUAUAUAUUUGUUGCUAGAUUACCUUACCUGAUAAAAAAAAUAUAUAUAUUCUUUUGAAUGGUUACUGGUUUGUUAUAGAAUAGAGGGAGUUGUGAUGUCUCCAAAUAGCUGAGUUUGUUUGAAUUAGGCAAUCCAUAUAUUGGUUUGUUUCUUUUUCUAUUAUAAUUUUCUAUUGAUUGUGUUUUAGGAUUUGGUUAUAUAGUUUAAAUACCGCAAUUUUAUCACAACAAUGAAAGAUAUCAACUGGGUUAAGAUCCUUUCUUUUUGGUAUUAUGUGAGGCUUAUUGAAUUGACAUAUGUGGACGUUGUGGGUCGACGACAUUACUGUCUCAUCUGCUACACCUUUAGAGGCCCAUCAUACUCAUUGUUCCACCUCAGAAUUUGUUCCAGUUACUAAUAAGUCUCAUGUUUCCUUGCUUAAAACAUAGUCAUGCUAAUACGCUACCAAAACUAAAUAGGAAAAUUCAAUUUUUGCAGAGCCAAAUUCCAAGUUGUUCAUUUAUUUUAAUUUGAUUUUCUUUUAAUAUUUUUAUCCCAGUUAUACCAGUUGUUUCUUAGAGCCUUGUUUUAACUUUCAAGGUCAGUCAACCCUUUGAGCUUAAGAUUGUGUCAAUACAAGUUGAACGCUAAUGCUCCUUUAUUUUUGUUUCAUUCUUACAUGAGAAUGUGCACAGUUCAAGAAAGUAUGAUAGCUCUAACACGCGCAGGGAAAUGAAGAAAAUCAAAAUUGAUCAGGCUUUGACACAUAGGGAGAGAAAUUUCAGGCAGUUCUAUGAUGUAUAGGAACUAAGAUUUUGUUGGUGAUGAUCUCUUGUGCAUAGUUAAGGUUUAGAUUAAGUGACAAUGACAUUAAACACUAUGCUUUUGCACAACACUUCAAAUCACAUAUCUUCUCAAAUACUUAAUUCAAAAGAAAGAUAAAAUAUCUAUGCUUCAUUUCACUGUAGCUGAAAUUUAAAACUUUUCAAGCUCUAUGCAAUUUGAAUUAUGUGUUAAGCUCACAAAUACCUCUUAAUAGAUUUUAAUGUUGUCACAUUUUCGGUAAAUGUUAGAAUGUAGAUGCUGCUUCUGCUAUUCAUUUUGAUAAUUUCUGACGAAAUAAAAUUGUUCGCGGAUCUAUUAACAUGAAGCUUCAUCUAGCUGUUGGGCCCGAGCUAAGCCCGGGCAUAACCUCACUAGUUACUAAUAUUAAUAAGUGACAAAAGGAAGAGUUUUGUCAUCCUCACAGUAGCAGAUCUUAAUUUGUUAGAGUUCUACAUUUAUCCUUACAAUUUUCAAUUAAUUCCUUUUAUGUCCUAUUAAUCUUAUCUUUCAAAAUCUUGUCCUUGACUCAAGAAAAAUAUAAGUAUUUAAGAAACAAAAAGAAGAGAAGAAGCUGGAAAGUCUAAAAGCAUUAAUUGUGAUUGACAGAAAGCAAAAAAGCUACAACAUGAUCUCAAAACUUGCCCACAUACAAAGCCCAAAAAGUUCAAAGUUAAAAAGAUCUCAACUUUCGGAACGCAGACGCUUACAUGGAACAAAAGUACAAUUAUUUCUACAGUAUUUAAAAGUAGAUCACUGCCCAACUCUUGAUUAAGUGACAAAUGUCUCCUUCCAUCACUGCAUAGACUGAUUUUACACACGGUGUCACGGUCAAGGACAGAUUUUGAAAAAUAAGAUUAACAUGGAAGCUAAAAAGUUGGUGGUGUACUCUUCAAAAACCCCCCAGAAUAUCCUCUGUUUCUCUCUGCUUUGAGGCUUCCAGAUUUUCUCAUCUCAACCUGGUAAGUUUGUCUCCUCUAUUACGUUUCUAUGUCUUUAUGAACUUUUUGUGUUACGUAAACCCGCUAAAAGCAUAAUAUGGAAGAACAAGAUGAGAAAUUUUUCAAAUUCUUAUUGCAUGUCUCUCUUCGUGUGUAUUUGAAACUUGAAAGUGAAGAAAAUAACAAGAAACUCAUGAACAAUCGUAUUGAAUUUACUAUUAUACUUGAUUCAAUAUAUUCAUGUGUUGAGCUUAAGUUGGAGUCUAUUGUUCUUUGUGAUUAGAAGAUCAUUGAAAAGAUUUUAAGUGAAACAUAUUAAGAGGUAUUGUUAAUUAGUUCUAUCUAGAAGACUGGCAGAUAAUGCAACAGAAGCCCUCUCCAAAUUAGUCUGCAAGAGAGUGAGGGAUCUGGGAGCCUUUCAACAUAGCAUUGAGGUUGUUUUAGUCUCUGUGGUGAGCUAGGCUGCUGAUCGGCACGUGAUAUCAAAUGACCUAUUCUCUCUGCCUCUCUUUGGUAUUUUACUUCCUGCCCUAUGAGGUUUCAUAGAAGAUGCACAUAAAAUUAGAGUUGAGCUAAUGUUUGCUGGUCACAGUAGCUCUUACGUGAUGAGUGGCUGGCCCAGAAUAGAAAUAAGCACACUACAUGACAAUGAAUAAGCUGGUUGGUAUCAAGAUUUUUCGUGGAUCUCAGAACUGAAUUUCAAAAGCGACUCAGUUUCUUUUUACAAGAUUUAAGAUCAAUUUUCUGCAAGUUUUUGCUUAUUACAUUGCAGAAUCAUACUUAGAUAAGUAAUUUCUUGUCCAAUUUGACUUUACCCCUCUGUUUGAAGACCUGCAUUGUUAAUCCAUUACAUAAUUAAUUUUCUACCUUUUCUGUUGGAAUGACAAAGAGACCAUGCAUGACAAUAACUUCUAAUACCUUUAUUGCUGUUAAAUACCUUCAUUCUCCACCAUAAGCUAGAGGAAAAAUAUAUGUUUGGACUAGGUGCAUCUGUUCUUUAGAAAUCCUAGAUCCGUCACUGUCUAUUACCUGUCGUCCAACAAAAUUUGUUUUACAAGGAUCUCUGUGUUAAAAGUGAGUAGUAUUUUAUGUAGUUUGAGAUAAUUCUAAAUUAUGUGGGUAAUUUAUAAAAUUGUGUGAUUCCGUUUAGUUCUUAUAUAAAAUCAAUCUCUUUAGAUUGCAAACUGAUUCCAUGUAAGCACAUCACCUUUACUUUCAAUUUUCUCAUUCUCUAAACACUACAUAUCAGAAAGACUCAACACACCAAAUUUUGUCAUGGCUAGAUAUUAAUUCCUUUUCCCCUGAUGCUUCAUAGUAAAGCAUUUGGUGGAACAAAGAAGUUGUAUAUGCAAUUAUGAAUUUGCUGUAAAGAUACCUAUUAUUCUUUAAAGUGAUACAAAAGAUUAUAAAUUAAUUGAGGUUGUAGGAAGUACUAUCGGAUAGGUUGUUGCACUAAAGUUUCAUUCUAUCGCUUCUUUGUAUAUACCAUAAAAUUUGAAAAUAGCUAUAAUAAGAGACAUAAUCUACUACAACAAAUAGAACUAUAGUCUAUAAAGGUACUGUGUUGGAAGUUAUUGAGUUGUUAGAUUUAUCUUUGUCACUAGAAACUCUAAGCUGAUAUAUUACUCCAAAAUCAUUAGAUAAUCAAAUAGUUUUUAAUACUUUUGUGGAACAUGAUGUUGUUGAUUUUUAAAUACAUAUAAUUUUAAAAGUUGUGCAUUCCAUAGCCCAUUUAAGUGCCUCUGCUUCCCAUAUUUCCCAUAUAUCUCCUUGGAAGAAGAUAACGUUCACCACACUCUGCACUAGAGCAGACAAAAGUGUUGCACUAGGCAGUUCUGUCCUCAUAACUGUAGUGUCCUCGUUCUCGCAUGCAUAUUUGAACCUUUGAUGAUUAAAGAAUAAAAAUUCAUGAUGUUUUGUUUGCUUCAUCCAAUUCACUUUACGUUUUGACUGUUCAACGUGCUUACCAUGUCCAUGGCCAUCUUCUUCAGAGGGGACUGAACUUUCCUUCAAUUCCCUCUUUCUACAAACUUUGUUCCCUUGUUUUCUCUAUCUUUUAAGAUGUUUCUUUACUACAGGUGGAGACUUAAACCUUUUGAUCUUUUGUACAUAUUAGCUCUUCAGAUGGUUAUGGACCAAGGAUUCAACUCGGAGAAUAUAAAGGACUACACGUGCUUUGGUUUGAACUUUAACUUUGUCCCUGUGUACACGUGUUUUAGACAAACAUUACAACUUGGGAGUACUGUAAGUCUAGAACUAAAGAUCAAACUGCUUGGUGAAAAAAAUACAAUAGUAGAUCAUCCAAACUACCUUUUUGGUUUGAAUUGACUUGUUCUCUCUGGUUUGCUCUAUUUCUUCUAUGAUUACAAUAGAAAAAACAAUACCUGAUAUUUCUUAAGGAGUAGACAGAUAGUAUCAUCAGGCUUACAGUGGCACUUCUAAUAUGUGCAUUAGAAUUUAUUGCUUUAUGUGAUUUUUCUUAUUCAGAUUGUGCCAGUAAAAUUAGUUGUGCAAAGUAUAGUACCUGCAUAGAAUUAUAGAAAGUUCCUUACCUAUGCAUGUUAUUUGUUUGAGCAACAUUAAAAUACUCUUCAUAGUCAAUCAUUAUGCUUGUACUAUCUUCAGUUGUCAAAAGUUAAUGUUAUACCCUUUUCAAGAGAAUUUUUUUUUAAAACAGAAAAGAAAAGGUUGAUUCAAAUUCAAGUUAGCCAUAGGAUUGUAACUUUAGAUACACCUGUGCCAUUUCUGAAACCCCUUGUAACCUCCCUGUGCCAUUUCUGAAACCCCUUGUAACCUCCUUUCUACGCAAAAUAUUUCAUUCUACUUGAAUUGAUUCAGAUUAUCCUUGAUUGCCAGCAUCAUUUGUUGUCUCAGUUGUACCAUAUCUUCUCUUAUACCAUAUUUUGUUCUGCUAGUAAAGGGAAGGAAGUUGCUCGUGUCCAAUGGACAGCCAUAUCCGGCAAAGUGUGAUGGUGUACGCUUGAGAAAAGAGUGGUAGUUGUAUUACCAUCAUUCUCCCAAUAAAUCCACUCACACUAUUGUUUUGUCUUUUUUUAUUUUCUAUUUUAUGAGUUACAUCAUUAUUUUGACCUUUGAGAUUUCAUUGCCUUGUGGUAGUCUUUUAAACACCUAUUAGUCCUUUCAUUCAUUCUUAUAGAAGCAUAUUUUUGGUAUCACACCAAGCAUAUACUGAUGACUCAACUUCUACAAUAUUACAACCCCUUGGUGAAACUGCAUAACAUACAUGUAUAAUAUCUAAUUCACCAUAAUAUACGUAAUGCUAUAAUAAUUUAAUCUAACAAAUGAUGGGCUUGGGUAAGCCCGGGCCAUCUUUAACUAGUAUAUAUAGAGAGAGAGCGCUAAGUAUCUACUCGGAUCAGGGGCCUGUUUGGUUGAAAUUUUUUGUUAUUAGCAUAUGUAAUAGACUUGAAGAAUGAAUCCGCCUGGGACAACGACGAAGAGGGUAGGAGACGCUAUUGGUAAAGGUCACCACCUGACGGUAACUACAAAUCUUUAAUGAAAGAAGUACUAUCGUCUAUCGAAUUCUGAAGAAAGGAAAGGCAAAAACAUGUAGAGAAGACGAAGCAAAUAUCAGCUCUAUGUCCUCACUUUCUUGCUGAGUUGAUUAUUAGCAAAUGCCAGAUCACAGCAGCGAGGGUGGCUAAAUUCUACAACCAUAGUUGGUCAGUGAUCAUGGCGCUAUCUGCUACUUCAAAGAACAUAUGUGGCAUAGAUGCGCUACAGCCUACAGGUGGGAAUCAAUGGUGUCAUAAGAAAACCUAGUCUCCUGCAAUGAGGAAAAGGAACUUCAGAGUCGUACAAAUAGCUGGCGAAGGCUUUUGAGGUAAUAUUAUUGGAAAAACAAACUUGGAGGGCGCAAAACUAUCACGAGCUUGCAAUCGAACUGCUGCCUUCAUUGGACUUGUAUAGAGAGAACAUCACAGCUUUGGUUGAUGAACCAGCUUGCUGCUACCCUUGUAGUUUGUGGCAGUUUUAGUUAUGCAAUAUAGGUUAGUUUGCCGUUCAAUUCUUGGCUCAUGAUAUAGUGAAAUCUAUCAUAUAUUGGUA